rnacentral:rRNA from 1 species
GGUUCAAAAGUGAAAGACGGUCUUGCUGUCACUUAUAGAGGAUCCGCGCUGCAUUAGCUAGUUGGUAAGGUAACGGCUUACCAAGGCAACGAUGCAUAGCCGACCUGAGAGGGUGAUCGGCCACACUGGAAUGAGACACGGUCCAGACUCUUACGGGAGGCAGCAGUAGGGAAUCUUCCGCAAUGGGCGAAAGCCCGACGGAGCAACGCCGCGUGAGUGAUGAAGGUCUUCGGAUCGUAAAACUCUGUUAUUAGGGAAGAACAUAUGUGUAAGUAACUGUGCACAUCUUGACGGUACCUAAUCAGAAAGCCACGGCUAAAUACGUGCCAGCAGCCGCGGUAAUACGUAGGUGGCAAGCGUUAUCCGGAAUUAUUGGGCGUAAAGCGCGCGUAGGCGGUUUUUUAAGUCUGAUGUGAAAGCCCACGGCUCAACCGUGGAGGGUCAUUGGAAACUGGAAAACUUGAGUGCAGAAGAGGAAAGUGGAAUUCCAUGUGUAGCGGUGAAAUGCGCAGAGAUAUGGAGGAACACCAGUGGCGAAGGCGACUUUCUGGUCUGUAACUGACGCUGAUGUGCGAAAGCGUGGGGAUCAAACAGGAUUAGAUACCCUGGUAGUCCACCCCGUAAAUCGAUGAGUGACUAAGUGUUAGGGGGUUUCCGCCCCUUACUGCUGCAGCUAACGCAUUAAGC